rnacentral:lncRNA from 1 species
UUUUUUUUAAAUAAAAAGAGAAUUUUGAAGAGCAUUAAUGAUUAUUAUAUUUAUUUUCUUACAGGAAGCUUGAAAGGAUGAUAAAGAGUAAGUAUUAGUGAGGAGGCUAUGGUCUUAUUUUCAAAUAGGACCUUCACACACAGGAUGCAAAGUUAACAGCAUCUGCUGUUCACCACAGACAGUAAUGACAAACAGAUGUCAAUUUCUUUGAAUAGCCACCAGCUCUGUGUUUGAUUCUGUAACUGCUAAUGAGAUAUUUUAUUUCCUUUGUUCAUAAUUCCUGCAUAGAGAUGUAAAAGGAAAACAAUAGCUUUAAUUAUCUUCUUACAGUGGGUUGGAGAUACUAAUUUUACUAGUCACUGCAUCCUGCAACACUCAUAGAUUGCACGACAGGGCUCCUACUUUUGUUACAUCUGGGCUUAAGGCAGUUUUAGCUGCAGCUGGACAUUCUGACUAUAGAGUUCGAUUGCUCACCAUCUCUGAUGCUAGGUAAAUGCACUCUGGAGCUGGAACUUUAUAAGGGGCAUGUAUAUCCAAAUUAACCUUACAGGAAGAUGUUUAUUUUGCAGUAAGAGCAGAUCUGAUUUCAUCCCCAGGUCUGCCCUUGUUUAGUUUAACAGCACCCAAUUUCAAGUCUCUGUAAGCAAGCAUAGGAACAUACAGUUUACAGCAGGAGCAUUUGAGCUUGUUCAUUUCUGAAAUUGUUUGUACUCAGGACCUUCCUCAUAAUCAUUUCACACUGAGUCUUGUUAUGACAUUUAAGCUGUAAGUAUUUCAUCAACAGAGAAUGGAACCUUUUCUCCUUCCAGAGUUGGUGUGUCUCAGAGAUAGCUCUGUCUCUGGUCCUCGCUUCUCUCUCCACUUUGGAGGACAUCAAGCAAACUUUUUUUGACAGUAGGACACCUGAGAGACUGUUUCUGUUUGCCAGUCUGGUCUGUUGCAUGCCUCACCUGGAAGGCCCAGCCCAUUCCAAAUAUAUAUUUAAAGCUGAACAAAGUGGUGAUUUUCUGUCUACCUUGAUGAACCAGUUCAGCAUUAAAAGCCUGAUUCCUCCAAAGACCAAGCGAUACCUACAUCUAGAACAGGCAAAGCUGUGCAGAAAGAAAACAGACUGGCCAAUUGCAGAACUUCAUUGUGUGUGCCCAGUCUCCAGAGAAAAUGCACAGGAAGACUUCAGUUCUUCAGCAAGUCAUCCAAAAGACUCAGCAUGGCCACCAGGAAGCUGCCAAAUGCCUGAAGUGUGGGGAAUGUGGAUGACAACGUGCUCCUGGAGCAUUUUGAACAAGCAUCUAGGAUUGCAGAAGAGGAAGAAUAUCCCCAUUUUUCCUUCAAAUGACUACCUGUUUUUACCACCAUCACCAAGUUUGCAUAAUAUUUUCUGA